rfam:Tetrahymena thermophila SB210 genomic scaffold scf_8254719, whole genome shotgun sequence.
GCACGUGUGGCCGAGCGGUCUAAGGCGGCGCACUCAAGUUGCGUUGGAGCGAUCCGCGUGAGUUCGAAUCUCACCGCGUGCA